rnacentral:rRNA from 1 species
GACGAACGCUGGCGGCGUGCUUAACACAUGCAAGUCGAACGGACAGGCCCUGCUUUUGCGGGGUGCUCGAGUGGCGAACGGGUGAGUAACACGUGAGUAACCUCCCCCUGUCUUUGGGGUAACUUCUGGAAACAGGGGCUAAUACCGCAUAGGAUCUCCUGCUCCGCGGUGGGGGUUGGUAAGUUACGGCGGUUGGGGCUGGUCUCGCGGCUUAUGAGCUUGUUGGUGGGGUAGGUGCUUACCAAGGGAUUGACGGGUAGCCGGCCUGGGAGGUUGACCGGCCACAUGGGGCCUGCGGUACGGCCCAGACUCCUACGGGAGGCAGCAGUGGGGAAUAUUGCACAAUGGGCGGGAGCCUGAUGCAGCAGCGCCGCGUGCGGGAUGACGGCCUUCGGGUUGUAAACCGCUUUCGCCGGUGACGAAGCGGGAGUGACGGUAAUGGGUAAAGAAGCACCGGCUAACUACGUG